rnacentral:rRNA from 1 species
AUUGACCGCUGGCGGCAGGCCUAACACAUGCAAGUCGAACGAGUGGCGGACGGGUGAGUAAUGUAUGGGAAAAUGCCUGAUGGAGGGGGAUAACGACUGGAAACGGUAGCUAAUACCGCAUACCAUCGGAUGUGCCCAGAGGGGAUUAGCUAGUAGGUGUGGUAAAGGCUCACCUAGUCGACGAUCCCUAGCUGGUCUGAGAGGAGGACCAGCCACACGGGAACGGGUACACGGUGCAGACUCCGACGGGAGGCAGCAGGGGGGAAUAUUGCAGAAUGGGAGCAAGCCUGAUGCAGCCAUGCCGCGUGUAUGAAGAAGGCCUUCGGGUUGUAAAGUACUUUCAGCGGGGAGGCGUUACCCGCAGAAGAAGCACCGGCUAACUCCGUGCCAGCAGCCGCGGUAAUUC